GUGGGUUUGGAUGCCAUCAAUGAUGCUAACCUCCUGGAAGCAUGUAUCUACCGCCUGCUGAAGCUCUAUUGCCGGGAGCAGCCCUAUUACCUGAACCUGAUUGAGCUCUUCCUGCAGAGUUCCUAUCAGACUGAGAUUGGGCAGACUCUGGACCUCAUCACAGCCCCCCAGGGCAAUGUGGAUCUUGUCAGAUUCACUGAAAAGAGGUACAAAUCUAUUGUCAAGUACAAGACAGCUUUCUACUCCUUCUACCUUCCUAUAGCUGCAGCCAUGUACAUGGCAGGAAUUGAUGGCGAGAAGGAGCAUGCCAAUGCCAAGAAGAUCCUGCUGGAGAUGGGGGAGUUCUUUCAGAUUCAGGUAGGAAGGCAGGAGGCAGUAGCAGAGAAUACCAGCUUCACUCCUCCUCUGCCUAGGAACCUCAUCCUUCCUCUUUUGCUGCCCUCCCCCUCCCUGCCCAGGAUGAUUACCUUGACCUCUUUGGGGACCCCAGUGUGACCGGCAAAAUUGGCACUGACAUCCAGGACAACAAAUGCAGCUGGCUGGUGGUUCA
rnacentral:sRNA from 1 species